rnacentral:misc_RNA from 1 species
UUAACUAUUAUAUAGUACUCAGACGACAUUAUAACACGGAGUUUGGGGUCCUCUGGCAGGUGCACCCUAGGGGACCCAGGGGCUGCAAGCAGCGACCCGCCAAAGCAACAAAGGUAACAAAACACAGGGUGGAGAUCUACCCGUGAGGGCAUGAUACUCUGUAAUGAUCCUUCCGCAGGUUCACCUACGGAAA